rnacentral:rRNA from 1 species
UACGUAGGUGGCGAGCGUUGUCCGGAUUUAUUGGGUUUAAAGGGUGCGUAGGCGGCCCUGUAAGUCAGUGGUGAAAUACGGCAGCUCAACUGUCGAGGUGCCAUUGAUACUGCGGAACUUGAGUACUGAUGAGGUAGGCGGAAUUGACGGUGUAGCGGUGAAAUGCUUAGAUAUCGUCAAGAACACCGAUAGCGAAGGCAGCUUACCAAGCAGUAACUGACGCUGAGGCACGAAAGUGCGGGGAUCAAACAGG